CCCUGGUUGGCUCAGUUGGUAGAGCGCUCCACUUGUAAUGGAGAGGUCCCGGGUUCGAUACCCGGACCAGGCG
rfam:Ixodes scapularis strain Wikel colony gcontig_1108379789102, whole genome shotgun sequence.